rnacentral:snoRNA from 9 species
AGCACAAGUGAUGAACAGCAGAGGGACUUAAUGCUGAAACGUGAUGUCUCACUAGGACAUGCUGAUGUGC